rnacentral:rRNA from 1 species
UACGUAGGGUGCGAGCGUUAAUCGGAAUUACUGGGCGUAAAGCGUGCGCUAGGCGGUGAUGUAAGACAGAUGUGAAAAUCCCCGGGCUCAACCUGGGACCUGCAUUUGUGACGUGCAUCGCUAGAGGUACGGCAGAGGGGGAUGGAAUUCCGCGUGUAGCAGUGAAAUGCGUAGAUAUGCGGAGGAACACCGAUGGCGAAGGCAAUCCCCUGGGCCUGUACUGACGCUCAUGCACGAAAGCGUGGGGAGCAAACAGG